UACUACAGAUUUUUGGUUGCACGGUUACAUUUUCAGCAUUUUGAAAGUUUGUCUAUUUCAAUUCUCUUAAAGUUAUGAUGUUCAGACAUGGAAUACUGUGAUCAUUUUUGGUAUUUUUUUUGUACCAAUAUUUUAAGUACAAAUCAAGUACUGGAAAAAUACAAGUACCUAAAUAUUACAAUAAUUCUAAAGUAGAGAAAUUGUACUAAAUAUUAAAAGUAAAUUUCCAGUACUACAGAUUUUCAGUACAGAAAUAGUACAAAAAUAGUACCUAUGCAAAAGUAGCUGUGUA
rnacentral:lncRNA from 1 species